rnacentral:rRNA from 1 species
AUACGGAGGGUGCGAGCGUUAUCCGGAUUUAUUGGGUUUAAAGGGAGCGUAGGUGGGAUAUUAAGUCAGCUGUGAAAGUUUGGGGCUCAACCUUAAAAUUGCAGUUGAUACUGGUUUCCUUGAGUACGGUACAGGUGGGCGGAAUUCGUGGUGUAGCGGUGAAAUGCUUAGAUAUCACGAAGAACUCCGAUCGCGAAGGCAGCUCACCGGGCCGGAACUGACACUGAUGCUCGAAAGUGCGGGUAUCAAACAGGAUUAGAUACCCUGGUAGUCCGCACAGUAAACGAUGAAUACUCGCUGUUUGCGAUACACUGUAAGCGGCCAAGCGAAAGCGAUAAGUAUUCCACCUGGGGAGUACGCCGGCAACGGUGAAACUCAAAGGAAUUGGCGGGG